GUCCACGCCGUAAACGAUGGGCACUAGAUGCCGGGCCUAUAGACGGGUUCGGUGUCGCAGCUAACGCAUUAAGUGCCCCGCCUGGGGAGUACGGCCGCAAGGCUGAAACUCAAAGGAAUUGACGGGGGCCCGCACAAGCGGUGGAGCAUGUGGUUUAAUUCGAAGCAACGCGAAGAACCUUACCUAGGCUUGACAUACCGGUGAAACCCCGUGGAAACACGGGGCCUCCUUCGGGACACCAGUACAGGUGCUGCAUGGCUGUCGU
rnacentral:rRNA from 1 species